rnacentral:rRNA from 1 species
AGCGAACGCUGGCGGCAGGCCUAACACAUGCAAGUCGAGCGCCCAGCAAUGGGAGCGGCAGACGGGAUAGUAACACGUGGGAACGUACCCUUCAGUUCGGAACAACCCAGGGAAACUUGGGCUAAUACCGAAUACGUCCGUAAGGAGAAAGAUUUAUCGCUGAAGGAUCGGCCCGCGUCUGAUUAGCUAGUUGGUGAGGUAACGGCUCACCAAGGCGACGAUCAGUAGCUGGUCUGAGAGGAUGAUCAGCAUCACUGGGACUGAGACACGGCCCAGACUCCUACGGGAGGCAGCAGUGGGGAAUAUUGGACAAUGGGCGCAAGCCUGAUCCAGCCAUGCCGCGUGGAUGAUGAAGGCCCUAGGGUUGUAAAGUCCUUUCGACGGGGAAGAUAAU